rnacentral:rRNA from 1 species
UACAGAGACUGCAAGCGUUAUUCGGAUUCACUGGGCGUAAAGGGUGCGCAGGCGGUCGUGUGUGUCAGGUGUGAAAUCCCGGAGCUUUAACUCCGGAACUGCGCCUGAAACUACACGACUAGAGCAUUGGAGAGGGAAGUGGAAUUCAUGGUGUAGCAGUGAAAUGCGUAGAUAUCAUGAGGAACACCAGAGGCGAAGGCGACUUCCUGGACAAUUGCUGACGCUCAGGCACGAAAGCAUGGGGAGCAAACGGG